UACGGAGGAUCCAAGCGUUAUCCGGAUUUAUUGGGUUUAAAGGGUGCGUAGGUGGUUCUUUAAGUCAGGGGUGAAAGACGGCAGCUUAACUGUCGCAGUGCCUUUGAUACUGAAGAACUUGAAUACACUAGAGGUAGGCGGAAUGUGACAAGUAGCGGUGAAUGCAUAGAUAUGUCACAGAACACCAAUUGCGAAGGCAGCUUACUAUGGUGUCAUUGACACUGAGGCACGAAAAGCGUGGGGAUCAAACAGG
rnacentral:rRNA from 1 species